GCCUUCGUGGUGUAGUGUUCAGCACACUGAGCCGGUAUUUCAGAGGUCCGUGGUUCGAUUCCCGGCGAAGGCC
rnacentral:tRNA from 1 species